rfam:Chlorocebus sabaeus isolate 1994-021 chromosome 16, whole genome shotgun sequence.
AUCAGGCAUGCACGGGCCUGUAAUCUCAGCUACUGGAGAGGGUGAGGUGGGAGGAUCAUUUGAGUCCAGGAGUUCUGGGCUUUAGUGCACUAUGCUAAAUGGGUGUCCACGCUAAAUUCUGCAUCAUAUGGUGACCUCCAGGGAGUGAGGAACCACUAGUUUGCCUAAGGAGGGGUGAACUGGCCCAGAUCAGAAAUGAAGCACUUCCAUGCUGAUCAGUAGAGGGAUCAUGCCUGUGAAUAGCCAUUGCACGGCAACCUGGGCAACAAGAGUGAAACUCUGUCUCAA